AGUGAACGCUGGCGGUAGGCCUAACACAUGCAAGUCGAACGGCAGCACAGUAAGAGCUUGCUCUUACGGGUGGCGAGUGGCGGACGGGUGAGGAAUACAUCGGAAUCUACUUUUUCGUGGGGGAUAACGUAGGGAAACUUACGCUAAUACCACAUACGACCUACGGGUGAAAGCAUGGGAUCUUCGGACCUUGCGCGAUUGAAUGAGCCGAUGUCGGAUUAGCUAGUUGGCGGGGUAAAGGCCCACCAAGGCGACGAUCCGUAGCUGGUCUGAGAGGAUGAUCAGCCACACUGGAACUGAGACACGGUCCAGACUCCUACGGGAGGCAGCAGUGGGGAAUAUUGGACAAUGGGCGAAAGCCUGAUCCAGCCAUACCGCGUGGGUGAAGAAGGCCUUCGGGUUGUAAAGCCCUUUUGUUGGGAAAGAAAAGCAGCAGGUUAAUACCCCGCUGUUCUGACGGUACCAAAAGAAUAAGCACCGGCUAACUUCGUG
rnacentral:rRNA from 1 species